rnacentral:rRNA from 1 species
GACGAACGCUGGCGGCGUGCCUAAUACAUGCAAGUAGAACGCUGAAGAGAGGAGCUUGCUCUUCUUGGAUGAGUUGCGAACGGGUGAGUAACGCGUAGGUAACCUGCCUUGUAGCGGGGGAUAACUAUUGGAAACGAUAGCUAAUACCGCAUAACAAUGGAUGACCCAUGUCAUUUAUUUGAAAGGGGCAAAUGCUCCACUACAAGAUGGACCUGCGUUGUAUUAGCUAGUAGGUGAGGUAACGGCUCACCUAGGCGACGAUACAUAGCCGACCUGAGAGGGUGAUCGGCCACACUGGGACUGAGACACGGCCCAGACUCCUACGGGAGGCAGCAGUAGGGAAUCUUCGGCAAUGGGGGCAACCCUGACCGAGCAACGCCGCGUGAGUGAAGAAGGUUUUCGGAUCGUAAAGCUCUGUUGUAAGUCAAGAACGAGUGUGAGAGUGGAGAGUUCACACUGUGACGGUAGCUUACCAGAAAGGGACGGCUAACUACGUG